rnacentral:lncRNA from 1 species
GUUCCGCCACGUUUGAGCGGGCGAGCCCGGCGGCCGGGAGACGCCAGGGAACGGGGCUGGUGGGGGUACAAAGGCUCGGUUCCGUCGCCUUCAGCCCUGCGGUGGGGGCACGGGGCAAGUGAGGGGACGGCAGAGGCGGCGUUCGGUGUGAGGCUGCGCCCUGGGCUCCUGAAAAUCCAGGGCUGCAGUCAUUUGAAGGCUUGACUGGGGCUGGAGGAUUUUCAUCCAAGAUGGCUCACUCACCCAGCUGUUGGCAGGAGACCUCGGUUCUUUGACUUCUCCGUAAGACUACGGAGUCUCACUCUGUUGCCAGGCUGGAGUGCAGUGGCACGAUCUCGGCUCACCACAACCUCUGCCACCUGGGUUCAAGCGAUUCUCCUGCCUCAGCCUCCUGAGUAGCUGGGAUUACAGGCAAGUGCCACCACGCCCAGCUAAUUUUUGUAUUUUUAGUAGAGACAGGAAUUCACCAUGUUGGCCAGGAUGGUCUUGAUCUCCUGACUUCGUGAUCCACCUGCCUCGGCCUCCCAAAGUGCUGGGAUUACAGGCAUGAGCCACUACACCCAGCUGAGCAUUUGACAUUAUUAACUAGCGCCUGGUUCUUUCUCCUGGGACUCCUAUUUUUCUGACUAUUUCUUCUCAUUUCCUUUGCUUAUACUUUUCCUUUGUGUACCUCUUAAACCCUGGUGUUUUCUGGCAUCUGAUCUCAGAAUUCUUCUCUCUCAUCUUUCUACACUCUCUCUAGUAGGUCUCCUUCACUUUGACCACUGUAAUUCCCACCCAAACACAAUGACUCUGCAUCUUUAUCGCUCACUUAGGCCACACCCCUGAGCUGUAGACAUGUAUCAUCAGCUCCCUUCUGGAUGUUCUUGCAUGACUCAAAUGGAACUUCACACGUUUCCCCCUCAGAACAGCUCUGCCUUCUGUGUUUCUGACAUUGGUGAAUAAUUAGUGUCGUCAUCUACCUAGGCACAGAUGCCAGAGACCUGGCUGUCGGCCUCCACUUCUCCCUCUCUUUACUGCCUCAUCCAGUCACCAAAGCCUUUGAGCCUACAGUGUUACGGACAUGUGCCAUUUUCUCCAUCCCUGGCAGCUGCGGUGCAGCCAUAUGACACGUAUUUGGCCAAUUGGUUGCUCACUUUGGAUUUUAAAUUUGGUUUCCCUUCUUCUAUCCAUGGCCUUUCAGUUUCGUUUCCAAAGAAUGCUUUUUAAAAAAUAUUAGUCAGGCCAGGCAUAGUGGCUCAUGCCUAUCAUCCCAACACUUGGGGAGGCAGAAGCCAAGGGAUCACUUGAGGCCAGGAAUUUGAGACCAGCGUGGGCAAGAUAGCAAGACCCUAUCUCUACAAAUUAAAAAAAAAAUUAGCCAUGUUUGGUGGUUCACACUUGUAGUUCCAGCUACUUGGAAAGCUGAGGCAGGAGGAUUGCUUAACCAGGAGUAUGAGGCUGCAGUGAGAUUAUACCACUGUGCUCCAGCCUGGGCAGCAGAGUGAGACCUUGUCUCUUAAAAAAAAAAAGUUAGAUCAUGUCACUCCCUGCUCAACAUUGUCUAAUAACUUUCCAUCAUAUUUAGUAUCAAAUUCAAAGUCAUGAUUGGUUGCCCGGAACAAUAAUGUUCUACAUGAUCAACUCGUAGCUCACUCUCCAUGUUCACUUCUGCCAUUUUCCUAUUGCUCAACUGCUCUCUAGCCCCCAUGUUGUGCCUACAGCCUGCCAAGCACACUCUGGACUCAGACAGCUGUUCCUUUUGCCUGACAUGUUCUUCUCACUGAUUUUUUUUUUUUUUUUUUUUUUUUUUUGAGACAGGAUCUCCCUCUGUCACCCAGGCUGGAGUACAGUGGUGCCAUCUCAGCUUACUGCAGCCUCAACCUCCUGGGGUCUAAGUGAUUCUCUCACUUCAGCCUCCUAAAUAGCUGUAACUACAGGCAUGCACUACCCCCAGCCCUGGCUACUUUUUUAAAAUUAUUAGUAGAGACGUAGUCUCCCUGUGUUGCCUGGGCUGGUCUCUAACCCCUGAGCUCAAGUGAUCCUCCCACCUUGGCCUCCCAAAGUGCUGGGAUUACAGGCAUGAGCCACCGCGCCUGGCCCUUCUCACUGCCUCUUACGUGAUUCACUCUCUUACUGCAGGUCUUCACUCAAAUGAGAGAGAGACUUUCUAUGACCAUCCUACUGAGUAAAAUAGCCACCACUCUCCCAAGUCAUUCUCUGAUCCGUACCCUACUUCAUUAUUGUUCAAAGCACUUCCCACGGUCCAAUGUUGUAUUGUUUACUCAUUUGCUUACUGGUCUAUUUUCUACCUCUCUGACUAGAAUGUAAACUCCACAGUGGCCAUGGGACAUGCCAGCAACACCUCCUUGUCAUCUAACGAUCAAAAUCAUGCAAUGCAUUGAUACCCCCUUGCGGGAAAGGUGCAGUGCAACCUCCAAAUGAGAACCAGUGCUAGAAGUGAACUGGACACAUAGGAAAUUGUGGUUAGAGAUGCAGAUGCUCCCUUUUUAAUUAUUAUUAUUAUUUGUAGAGAUGGGGUCCUGCUGUGUUGCCAAGGCUGGUCUCUAACUCCUAGGCUCAAGAGAUCCUCCCGCCUCAGACUCCCAAAGUGUUAGGAUUACAGGCAUGAGCCACCAUACCCGGCCUCAUUUUUAUUGACCUGAUUUCCGUCAUAGCCUGCAAGAUGCUUUGUUUUGAUUGUUUAUUUUCACUUCUGCCUCCUUCGGUAAACCUGUGAGUGUCCUGAGUGGGGGUCAAGAUUUGUUUGAGUGUAUGAUCUAAUCUGAAUACACACGUGUGUGUGCAUGUGUGUAUUUUUCUCCCUGUUGGAUUGCUCAGCCUCCACAGCCUGUUCUUCUCCACUGUGAUACACCAGGUGUCCUUCAGCAGGUGUAGUGAAACAAAGCAGAGGCUUUGACGUCACCCACGCUGGCCCUCGUGUGACUCACGGCCCAGCCCUGAGCCAGAAUCUGCUCCUGUUAUUACGGGUAUGAUUGUCUCCAUUUUACAAAUGAAGAUAUGGAGGCUCAUAUUCUUCAUCUGCAACUCAUUGAUGGAUAACCAGGUAGCCCUUGCAACCUAACGUUUGCUGUUGCCUCCAUUACAAAAACCUCUAUGCUCAGCCCUCAGUCAUGAUUUUAGAGAGGGCUCCUCAGGUAUCAAGAGAAAAUGCUGACCGACAGUGUCAUUAUUUCAGGUCGAGGUGACUGAUAGCCCUGCAGUCCUCUCUUCUCUCUAUGCUGAGGGAGAAUGACCUUUGAUUUGUGGCACUCACAGGGGCUGGCAAGGCCUGCAGUCAUUUGCAGCUGAUUCUGCUGCUUUGUGUCAUGAGACAUUAAGUGACCUGCUUGGAUUCACUGAACUAAUUAGUGGCAUAGCUGGGAUUGGAACUCAAUAUUCCCUUCUCCAAAUGAUGGGGUUCCCUCUGUGCUUGGUGUCUUCUUGACUUCUAAUGUGUCUGAAAUGCAUAAUUGUUAGAACCCUGGGCCCCUGUAACCUUCACCGGUCAACUCUCAUCACCCCAAGCACCCUGAUGGAUUCGCGGAGCACAGAGGACAAUCCCAGCAAACGUGUUUAUCAUCAAUGAGGGCUUUUGUUGCCGUCUCUUGUACCUUGGUGACUUGGGAUAGAGCACACAUAAACCUCCAGGAUUAUUUUUCACCCUUUUAGUUUAAGGACUAGGAUGAAUGAACAACUCUUGGCCUAUUUUGUUAACCUUAACUCACACCUACUUUUUGCCCUGUGACCGAGGCAUGAAAAUACGUGUUUUUUUCCUUUAGGCCUAGAACAAAGCUGCCACCUUCCCCCACAGUGGUGUUUUUUAAAUGCUUGGUUAUGACCAAUUAGAGGAUUGUAAAAUCAGUGUAGUGGGGUGACGAGCAUUAAAAAAUAGAACAGGAUAUAAAAUAAAAAAGUAGUAGUAGAGUACUGUUCUGUGAAAUCUUUUAUCAGUCAUGUGUGCAUAUGAAUGAAUGUGUACAUGUGUAUGUGUAUAUGUGUGCAUGUGCAUGUGAUCACAAUUUAAAAUGUAUUUCUCAUUAUACUUUGGGGUAAAAUAAUAGGUGUUUUCAACUUGCAGGUGAUAAUUAUGAUUUGGCAGAAUGUAUCCGAAUGUCAUACCACUCCAGGUAGAUUAGAGUCUCUGGAGGGAGGGGCUAGGUGUGUAUGUUUUUAAGUUCCUCAAUUGAUUAUGGCAUUAUCUUUCUUGCUACCUCCCCAACUCUCUCUCCUCUGUCUCUCUUUCACACACACACAUACACACACACACACACACUCCACAGUUGUUGCUAACAACCAUAUCUUAUUCAUCUGAGUAUCCCCCUAUGACUGAAGUAGUGGCUGGCACUCCCAGGGCACUCAAUAAAUGCUUAUAAUUGUCAAAUGGCAAAGGCUUGAAGGCUAAAAAGUGAAAUUUAUAUAGUUUUCUUUCAUCAUGCCCAGCACACAUUUUGCACUUGGUAAUGCCACUCAGUGUGUUCAUGAUGACUUAUGGAAAACAAAAAUACAAUAAUGAGAAGCCAAAUGGCUAAAACACGCAGGUGUAAUGAAUAGCCAUUGGACUGAGCUGGCCUUCACCACCCCAGAAUAAAGCUCUUUCCCCCUCAAUGCACUUGAACAAACCAAUCCAAACCAGGAAACCUCAGAAAAGGAGUGACUGUCACCUCCCUAAGUAAUAGAGUCGAUCUCCUCUUAACCUUGGUGACCCUCAAAAACCAGUAAAUUCCUUCUUUUAUCUAUCCUAAAUCCUUUAUAUUACCCUUUAAGCCAAUUUUCUGUUGUACUGUAUUCAAUGGGAAUUGAAAACAGCUGGUCACCAUCUGCUGUAGAUUAAUUCUUCAUGUACUUGAAGCCUAUAAUUAGGUCAUUCCUCAGCCUUCUCUUCUCCAGGCUAAAUAUCUUAUUUCCUUUAGACUUUCCCAAAAGGUUUUAUUUUCCAAUUAUUUAAUUGUCUUCAUAGUGUUACUCUCAAUACCAGGAUCCCUGUCUCCACACACCUCAAGUUGAGAAGGCUGAUCAGUGUGAAGGGUCAUGGGCAUUUAAAGUCACCACUGCCACUUUCAGGGAGUUCUUUUCUGUGAGUUGUUUAUUUUCUGAGGGCCAUUUAGAAAUGCACAGCAGCCUUCAACUGAACAGGACCCUGUCACCCUGAAAUUGGAAACAUGAAGCAGAAUAUUAUGCUUUACUUCUCCCCUAAUUUCAGAUACAGAUAAGCUGGACUAUAACCUUGAUUUUGCAUCCCAAAGUCUCUGAAUUAGCCAGUGCAAAUUGUGGGAUGUAAUUCUCAUCCUCAAUUAUAAAUGUGUCAUUAUAAUAGCAUUCUUUUUUUUUUUUUUUUUUUUUUUUUUGCGACAGAGUCUCGCUCUGUCGCCCAAGCUGGAGUGCAAUGGCGCAAUCUCAGCUCAUUGCAACCUCCUCCGCCUCCUGGGUUCAAGCGAUUCUCCUGCUUCAGCUUCUUGAGUAGCUGGGAUUACAGGCGCACGCCACCAUGCCCGACUAAUUUUUGUAUUUUUAGUAGAGACGGGGUUUCACCAUGUUAGUCAGCUGGUCUCAAAUUCCGGACCUCAUGAUCCGCCCACCUCGGCCUCC